rnacentral:rRNA from 1 species
UGGGAACGCGAAGAACCUUACCUAGACUUGACAUCUCCUGAAUUACCCUUAAUCGGGGAAGCCCUUCGGGGCAGGAAGACAGGUGGUGCAUGGUUGUCGUCAGCUCGUGUCGUGAGAUGUUGGGUUAAGUCCCGCAACGAGCGCAACCCUUAUUGUUAGUUGCUACCAUUUAGUUGAGCACUCUAGCGAGACUGCCCGGGUUAACCGGGAGGAAGGUGGGGAUGACGUCAAAUCAUCAUGCCCCUUAUGUCUAGGGCUACACACGUGCUACAAUGGCUGGUACAGAGAGAUGCUAAACCGUGAGGCGGAGCUAAACUUUAAACCAGUCUCAGUUCGGAUUGUAGGCUGAAACUCGCCUACAUGAAGCUGGAGUUGCUAGUAAUCGCGAAUCAGAAUGUCGCGGUGAAUACGUUCCCGGGUCUUGUACACACCG